GCAGUACCUUUUGUCGAUCAAAAGAGUUUUGAAGAUAAGAGUAGAAUCGGAGUUCCGACGUGAAGUUAACAAUGGGAAGCUAAUGGAGCUAUGGAGGUUGCAUAAUAGUUUUAAUGGUUAUUUUCUAAUGGAGGUCGAGUGUAGUUAGGUGGCGACUCUUCUGAUACUAGGCAUGCUCUGUUUUCUCUCCGUCCUCCUCCCUCUCGUCACUCUCUCUGUCCGUUCCUCUGUAUAUCACUUACUCUAUUUUGUUUCUGAUUUUACCAUCCUCAAACCAAACUUAGUAGCUAAACUGCUUGUGAGACAUUUUCCUCAAAUGCAUCUUUUUAUCAUAUUCAAAACUGUGUUUCAUUAUUCUAUGAUUAGACUGGCUUUCAAGAUCUGGCUAAAAUCUUCGCAUGUAUGUCAUGUCACUAAAACUGGUGUGAAGAUAACUAAGCAUAGAAUGACACAAAAGGACAAACUGUAUUUCAUUGAGUAAAGGAUGGAAUGGUUUAACGACAAGACAAACAACCUAAAAUCAGAGUCACAGCCCUAAAAUAACCCGGAUAAUAGCAACAGAACAGACAGACAAGACUUACACAAAUAGAGGGAUGGAAGGGUUUGACUCAAUAAAAUAAAUAAAAUCUGGAUCACAACCCUGAAGUAACCCAGAUAAUAGAAAAAAUAUCAAAACAAGCUACCCAGAUUCCUUCCUAGUUCAAUUGCUGAGCUUGACAUUUAGCCACAAACUUGCUCAUCAUAAUCAUCAGGGCCUUCUCCCAUUUCAAAAUCAUUAACUUUAGUCAGCAAGUUCCAAAAAGGAUUCUCAUACUCUAUGUCACCACGCAUCAUCCCCACAAAGUGUGCAUCAUCAUGUGCAGGUAAAUGAUUCUGCGCGAUAUUUCGGAUGUCACUGUCUUGGAUCACAAUUAUCUCUUCUUGAAUCAUUCUUUCUAUAUACCUUUUCAAAGCACGGCAAUCUUCAAUGCUAUUCCCUUGGACAUAGAGUGGUACAUGCACCGUAUAGCAGGAUCAAAACCUUUUGCAUAUGGGUGCGGAGUAUAGCCGAGGAGCGGCUCAAUCAGGCCAUAAUAUUUUAUCUUUUCAAACAAGCUUGUGUAGGAUUCUCCGAUUGGUGUGAAACUAUUUCUUUGCCUUUUUUCCCCUCCAUGCCCCUAUUUACUAGGGUUGUUGGAUGCUCAAAAAUGUUAUAAAGGCAAGAGUGUAUUAUGCAGUGCUGGCGCUCGCCAUAAGGAGUGACCCGGUGGUUGGACAGAUGACCGGACGUUGUUCGGAGAAUAAUACUGAGGUAGAUUAUAUGGAGCUCGAGUAUAGGUUUGGGGUUGGGGUCGGGGUCGAGGUUGAGUAUAUUGGUGAGGCGGACCCGUUGGGCUAUGUCGUGAUCCUGAGACAACCAUGGCAACAUCAUCAUGUUCCUUCUGACCCAGCAAGCUUCCUGUGUCAUUUUGAAUUGCUUGUGUUGUGGCUUUUAAAGCAGAAUAGCUCAUGAUCUUGCUUGAAUUCAGCCCAUCUUCUACCAUUUCUCCCAUUUUUACCACAUUAUUAAAAGGCUUACCCACAGCCGAGAUCAAAUGCCCAAAGUAAGUAGGCUCUUGAGCUUAAAGAAAGUACUCGACCAUCUCGUCUUCUUCCAUCCGGGGAUUGACUCGGGUAGCUUGCUCUCUCCAUCUGAGCCCGUAUUCCCUAAAGCUUUCAUUAGGCUUCUUUUCCAUCUUGGUGAGGUACAUGCAAUCCGGGACAAUUUCUAUAUUGUACUGAAAGUGCCUGGCAAAGGCCUGAGCCAUAUCGUCCCAUGUGUACCACCUGCUAGCGUCUUGGCGGGUGUACCACUCCAGAGCUGCCCCACUCAAACUCUGACAAAAAUACGCCAUCAAUAGUUUGUCCUUUCUGCCGGCGCCUCUCAUCUUACUGCAGUAGCCUCUCAAAUGGGCCACGGGAUCUCCAUGUCCGUCAUACAAAUCAAACUUUGGCAUCUUAAACCCAGCAUGCAGUUGGGCAUCAGGAAACAAGCAUAAAUCUUUGUAAGACACGCUCACUUGUAUCCCUAUCCCUUGCAUGUUUCUUAAAGACUGCUCUAAGAUUUUCACCUUCCUGGAUAUCUCAUCUUGCUCCACUAUCUUAGCAGGCUUUUCAGUUUUACCGGGAGGCUCAAAAUGAGGAGCGUCAGAGUAUGGAUCCGAGACCUUGAAAGUUGGUUCUGGAGCAUAGUGUUGGGCAUCGGGGACUUUGAACACAGUCUCGCUAGAGGAUCGAGGAAGAGUAACUGGUGGAGGAGCUACAAAAACAUGAAUGGUCAAAGGAGCGGGAUAUGAGGUGGUUUUAGGGGGUGGAGUGUGAAAAGGUUAUGGGGAGAUAUCAGCAGCAGUGAAAAUCUGGAUUUGUGACAAUGGCGGAAUGGUGAUGAGGCUUUCAGUGUAGUUAGUGGGAAACAAUGGUGGAGGACGCCCACUAAUCCAGGCUUGGUAUAUUUCGGCCAUCUGUCCUUUCAACCUUAGGACCUCUUCUUUCAACUCAGAUUCUCAUUCAACAGUCUCCUUAGGCAGAUCAACAACACUUGUGUCCAAGUCUUUGCUAGCCAUGGCUAUCUUGCUCUUUGACCUUGUGUUAUAUGGAUGAAUCGCUAGAAUGCCACAAACUAACCACCUUCUGUUAUGAUAAUAAUGAAAGUACCAAAGAGGAGCAAAACAAAACCAACAUGUUAGCGUUAGAGCAUUUAUCAUAUAGAAAUAUCACAUUGCGUGCAAUGUACCUAGCAACAAUUAACGGUUCUAGAAUGACUUCAAGGGUCACAAGGUCAUUUGGCAUCAUCCCAAUUUUGUUCAUUUCAAUCUUCUCUUUCCUUUCUUUUCUAGCAUUUCUUGGCUUGCUCAUUUUCCAUCCUCUCUUUUCUUUCUAAUUAUCACUAUUUUCUCUCUCACCCCUCACGUCCCAAAACUUCAUUCUCUUUUUUUAUUUUUUUAUUUUUUUUUAAUAAUGAUUCGAUCAAACUCUAUGUAGGUUUCCUGCAUAUCAUGUUCCACAUGAAUUAGACUAAGCGUAGUUCUGGAAAAGUAAUGGAUAAAAUAAACUAAAAUCAAAAAUCAUUUUGGAUUUUUCAUUUAUAACUAUUUUUUUUUCAAAUACAAAUAGGAAAUACGAUGACAAAAGACUCGAUAAAUUUUACACCACCUAAAAGACUCAAAACUACUAGACAAGAUAAGAAAGUAAAAGAAAACAUGAAAACAGACAAAAAAUAUAAAAAGUCACUUGAAACAAGCUCCCAAAUGCUAUGGUCCUGGGGUAUCUUUCAUGCUCGAGCUCUGGUACAUGGAUCCAUACCUGAAUGAGAAAAAUAAGACCGAAUAAAGUUAGUAACUCGAGAUAUUAUGUGAGCCAUAACACCUCCUAUUAGGCACAUGCAAGACACAAGUGGGGCUAUUUCUACAAAAUGGCUAACGAGGCCAAAAGGUGACUAGAAGUGAAAACUCAAUUAGGACGACCUCUAAAACAUGAAAACACCUCACGAAGGCCCAUAAACUCUCAGGAAUCGCGGUCCCUAAAAUUGCUUUGUGAAAAUGACCCCACUUUGCGAAAAUGGCCUAUGUGGCCGAAAAAUGGCUAAGCAUGCAAAUUCAACAGGAAUAAACCUUAGACUGAUAGAACAUCAUGUUGUGGACUUAGGACUCUAAGACAUAGGUUAACAAGCCACUUUGAGAAAAUAUCCCUACUUUGCAAAAACGACCGAUGUGGCCAAAAGUGGCUAGACAUGCAAGAUUUGGCUACGACCCUCGAAGCCAAGAACUUAAGACUCACUAGGAAGACCGGACCCUAUGUGGGCUGCCUACGUAUCCCGCCCCGAAAGACGAGAAUCAGGUAGGCGUAGUUCGUGAAGAUUGGAUACGGAAGAAAACUAAAAAAACAACUGAUUUGGAGAAAAUAUAUUUUUGUCUUUUUUGGAAAGUGAUGGGAAAGUGCAAAAUCUUUUUGGAUUUUUUCAUUUUCAUUUAUUUUUUUGGUCUUUUUCUUCAAAAAGUUGUGAAAGAAAAGUAUAACUAGGCCCUACUUGCUUCAUUUUUAUACUUCACCCUCUUUUCUUUCUCAUUUACCCUCAACCAUCAUUGGUCUGCCAAAUGACCCCUUUACCCUUAAAGAAUGCAGCAUGUAGCACAUAGGGAUGAUUAAAUAUCUUUUGUGGCCACAGGCCCAUUUUGACAAAAUUUGGAUAGGCCUCCUAUAAAGGGACAUGGCGCCCGGGACCGAGCCCUGUUAGGUCUAAAUGAUAUGAUGCAAAUAAGAAUGACCUAAAGGCUGACCUAAGUUUAGGGUUCACUAGACAAGGCAAUUCGGGGGAGCGUAUGGUCGAUGGUGGCUGCUCAAGCUUUCCACCCACUCCAUACGUCCGAUGCCCCCCUCCCCCCCUAAAAUAAGGGUGACUCAACAAAGAGUUCGUGUACGCGACGUGCACUACGAGACUUGUUGCAGAAAGAAUUGACCGGGUAAUGCAUAUGGUGACAGUUAUAAAGCAGUAACCAAUAAAGAAAAAAAAUUGUAAACACAUAAAUAACUAGCAAAUAAUAAAAUGGCAUAAACAAAAUAAAAAUCACAUAAAGUAUAACAUAAAAACCUCAACCGAAUAUUAUAAAAAGCCAAUAAGAUUAAGUACCAGCUCGAACCUGCAACUCCCAGCAGAGUCGCUAAAGCUAUCACACCCUUUUUUUUUUCACCUCACUAACCCCACUAUAAAAUAAUAAAACGAUUUUGAAAGCUCAAAAGGGUUUUCAAGUCCUAAAAGUGACAAAGGAUUGUGUUUUAAAGGAUUUUCAGAGUCGCCACCUGACAUUUGAUUUCGGUGUGCCAGGUCACCAUUUUUUAAAUAACAAUUUUCCUUCAAAAUACAUUUUUACUCUUAAACCACGUACACCAGAGAUUCUAGGUAAGGGAUUUCACUUGACUCGGGGAGAAGGUGUUAGGCAUUCCCCGAGUCCCAUGAAAGUCACGGUUGCGUACUCAAUCUAGUUGGCUUUUAAAAUAUUUAAAUUGAGGUAAAAAAACACAGAGAAAGGAAAAUAAACACACAAGAGGCUUGAGGUUGUCCCCACCUAAUAAAAGGAAUAAAAAUAAAAUAAAAUACUUAAGUUCUAUUCUACGCUUCCUCGCAUCAUCCAGUCUCUGGCCUUCAUUUACAUGUACUUCGGGGCAUUCACCGGUUAAAAUAUUUACAAACUCUUUGGGACAUAUCCCAAAAUAUAAACUAAAGGGAACGACCUCUUACCUCAAAUGAAAUAAAAAGACAAGACCUAAAGUUUGCCUACACGGGUGUGGUCAGCCUAAGUAUGCUCCUAACGAUCAAAUGAGUAUAGCGAAAUAAAGAACUAAUAGAAAUGAUCCAAAGCUCAAAUUGUUAUAACUUUUUCAAUUCUCUGCCAUGACAAUUUUGUCUUAAGGAGUCCAAAUGUGAUUUUGCUCUUUAAAUCAGGCAAACCCCCACAGCCAAUUUAUCAAUUAAAUAACAAAAUCCAACAAACCACUAAUUUGAAGCUAUAAGUGAACUAUCAUUCUUUUCUUCCUCUUAAUCAAGUUUAAUGAAUGAUAGGCUAAUGAUCUAACAAUAAUCUUUAAAGCUAAUAAUAAAAGGAAUACGAAAGCAAUAUGAGUGCCAACCAAAUGAAUACACUGCUAAUAUCAAACGAAUGACUUCAUUUCAUCAAAAGUUAAUACACAAAAUUUUAAGAAAGGCAUGAGUAAGAAUCUGACCUUAAAACAACGAGUUUGAACUUUGAUUGUUUGAUGGCUCUAAGACUCAAAAACGAACGGGACCGCGAACAAGAUCUAAAUCCGAAAACCUCACCGGAAACCUCGUCGAACUCAGACCGGAUUGCCUCGCUACCUCCCUUUACUCAGAUCUGAGCGUCCAAGACUUUAAACUCACUAAAAUUCGACCUUUAAUGGCAGUACCUUUUGUCGAUCGAAAGUAUUUUGAAGAUAAGAGUGGAAUCGAAGUUCUGACGUGAAGUUAACAAUGGGAAGCUAAUGGAGCUAUGGAGGUUGCAUAAUAGUUUUAAUGGCUAUUUUCUGUGGAGAUCGAGUGUAGUUAGGCAGCAGCUCUUCUGAUACUAGGCAUGCUCUGUUUUCUCUCCGUCCUCCUCCCUCUCGUCACUCUCUCUGUCCGUUCCUCCGUAUAUCUCUUACACUAUUUUGUUUCUGAUUUUACCAUCCUCUUCUUCUUUUUUUGAGAAGAAGGGGUGUCAGGUGCGGUUCUCCUUCAGCUAUGUGUGUGUGUGCGUGUUUUCCGGCGGAUUUUGGUGGAAAGGGGCUGGUUUUCGGUGGACUUUGGUGGCAGUCGGCGUGGUCAAGGGAGGUGGGGGUGCGGCUCUUGUUUUUGGGGUCAGGCCUGGGCGUCGGCAGUAGGUAGGUAAGGGCGAAGGCGGCAUAGACGGAAUGGAGAUGAGGUGGGAUGGUUGUUGGCUUUUCCAGGGUUCCUAGGUUUUGAUGAUAUUAGCUUUAUAUAUGGUAUGAAGGAAAUAUCUUGGCUAUUGGAUUAAACGGAUGGAAGGCCAAGAUUGAAUCACUUAAACUGAUGGGUCCAAUGGAUUUGAUGGGCGUGGGUCGCGGGUCAUGGGUUAAAAAUGGUUUGAGGGAUUGGGCUGGUUUAAUUGGGUAAGGGAUCCGAAUUGGGCUAUCUCAAGGUUGGGCUUUUAAAAUGAUGAAAUUCAUUAACUAAAAACCUAAGUUUUCCUUCUUUAAUAUAAAGUAUUUAUAAAAAUGUAAGACCACUCCUGGUUGAUUUUAAUAAACUAUUAAAAUAAAAAUAAAAAUUAAAAGCAAAACUAUUUUUGGUAUUUUCAAAGAUUAAACUAAAAUAAGGCUAAAUUAGUAUCACCAUAAAAAUACUAACUACUUAAAUAAAUACAAAUAAGAUAAAGAGUGAAACUAUUUUUUUGUUUUUAAUUUUUUAAAUGCUAAAACAACAAAAUAAAAUAUUAUAUAUACAUAUUAAAAUCCUACAAAAUUUAAUAUAAACUCAAAUAUAUAUGUAUAAAAUAUUCGACUGGCUUGAGAACGUGGCGGGUCAAAAAUUAUGUGCUUACAGCUGCCCCUCUUUGCUUGGAAACACGAAGUAUUUUUGAGCAAAGAAAUAAGCAAUGUAAUUGAUUUCUGACCCGACACUUAUUCGAAAGAAAAUAAAAAUGGAUAAAAAGAUUGUGCCCGAGCCCUGGUAUCUGAGCUGCCUACAUAUCCUCAGCUAUAAAGGAAUCAGGCCAUGUGUAGUUCAGAAGUGAUGGAGUAUGUGGAGAGGAUGAGAGAGCCGAGUGAGGUACCGUCGAGGUUCCGGUCCGCGGUUCCUGCCAUUACAUCAAAAAUAAAAAAUCAAAUAAAAAUUACAUGGAAACCACUAAAUCUUAUCUAUUGUUCUGUCUUGAAUCUUUUAUAGUCUUGUUGUGCAUCUCGAACUGUUGACUCGCAUUCUUGAGGCGAACUUCAGCUACUUUUAACAUGAAUUGACCAUAUUCUUCAGGCGGGCUCCUGUUGUUGACUUGAAGCUUGAACUAACUCUGAAAUGAACUCCCUCGUUCUUCAGGUGAGCGUCUGCUACUGACUUAAAAAUUGAAAUAACUCUGAGAUGAAUUCCCUCAUUCUCCAGGUGGACGCCUACUACUGACUUGAAAUUUGAAGUAACUCUGAAAUGAAUUCCCUCGUUCUUCAGGCGGGCUCCUGCUAUUGACUUGAAGCUUGAACUAACUCUGAAAUGAAUUCUCUCAUUCUCCAGGUGGGCGCCUGCUACUGACUUGAAAUUUGAAGUAACUCUUAAACAAAUUCCCUCGUUCUCCAGGGGGCGCCUGCUACUUCUCUGAAUUUAACCUGAAACCAAUUUCUGAGAUAUUGACCCUCGUUCUCCAGGUAGGUACCUGCAAUCGAAAACAACAAAACAAAUAAAAUUUUCUGCCCCAGUUUGCACUAGGAAGAUUUUUGAGUUGUCAGCAAAACUGUAAAUCACCUAUGCUAUUGAUGCAAUGAUGAGAGUAAAACUAAAGACUAGGCUAGGAUGUGCGUCUCCUGUGAGUAAAACCAAGAAAAUGUGACUAGCAAAUGCAUCUGCUAAGAGAAAACCUGAAUGACCCGAACUAGGAAGUGCGUCUCCUAUGAGUGAAAUCUCAAUUUAGGAAAUGCGUCUCCUAAAAGUAUAUCCUGAAAGACCCAAAUUAGGAAGUGCGUCUCCUACGGUUGAAACUUGAAUGAACCAACCUAGGAAGUGCGUCUCCAAGGGGUGAAACAUGAAUGAAUCAAAAUAGGAAGUGCGUCUCCUAGGGGUAAAAUUUGAAUGAACCAAACUAGGAAGUGCGUCUCCUAGGGAUGAACUUAAAUAACCUAAACUAGGAAGUGCGUCUCCUAGGGGUGAAAUCUCAAUUUAGGAACUAGGAAAUGCGUCUCCUAGAGAUAAAACUUGAAUGACCCAAACUAGGAAGCGCAUCUCCUAGGGGUGAAACCUUUUAACACAAAAUUAGGAAGUGCAUCUCCUAAAAAGCAUGGCCUGAAAGAUUUAAACUGACCCUAUUCUCCAGGCGGGACCCCUGAACUCAAGGAAAACUAAUGAUUACCAACCUAACGAAAUUGAAAACUGACCCUAUUCUCCAGACGGGACCCUUGAACUUUAAGAAAGCUAAAGAUUAACAACUUAAAAAUUAAAAACUAACCCUAUUCUCCAGGCGGGACUCUUGAAAUCAAGGAAAGCCAAAGAUUCCUCUCAACUAGGGAAAAUGCCUAGGAGGUGUGAUCUUCUCAAUAGCCAUUGCGUAAGCAGAAUUGGGGGCAUUACACCUGAAAAAUUCAAGCUUCCAAGCUUUGGUAUGAACAUAGCCUUCAUCCAUGUUUCAGACAAAGAAAACUUGUGAGUUUAAAACAUGGUGGUUAGUUUGUGGCCUUGACUACGAGGGAGAUUUCUCUUGCACUUGUCACGAUCAACUUGGACUUCAACUUGGAAGACAGUGCUUGUUAUCGGCCGACCGCUUUUGCGGACAACCCUUAUCACAAGAAAUAUUCCUGAUUCGUUCAAGUCCAAUACCUUAUGCCUGAUGCAUUACACUCGUCUUCUAACAUUCACCAAAUCUUUGCAUUUUACAUCAAUCCUAAAGAACAUCUAUUAUCACCAACUCAGUGCACACACUAUUCUCCUGUGUCUUAUGCCAUUUUUAUGUGCUUGCCAGACUCUGCUUUAUGUGGUUAAAAGCUGGUAGCAGAUUUUGAAGUCAUUUCUCACUUGUUUCGACAAAAAUAGACUUAAAAGGGACUCAAACAAAACAAGAGGAACAAAUUAAGGAGAAAAACGAGAAGAGACGGUAUCUAACAAGAAAAGUUUUACCCAGGAAAAAGAACAAAGUAAAAAACUAAUCGGAUUUGAAGGCCAACUCCAUUGAUCAUGACAUGCAUUUUGGAUUAAGCGGUCUGAUCUGUCAAGCGAGUCUAAUCUUCAACUCUUGUUAUGCCACUAAUUUGUGAAAUUGUGCUUCAGCGCUCCAAUUGUCCUAUGUGAUCCACAAUCCUCAGUCGACUUGUAGUGCCCUGAAGGAUUUUCACCAUCAAGCCUCUCUCAUUUUGCUCUUUUUCUCAGCUCACCGUCGCCUUACAGUGCCCGUGAGGGUUUUCACCACUAAGACUCUCUCAUUUUAUCAUUUUCUCUCUUUGUGCUGAGAACAAGGUAUUACCCAUGAUGCAGGAAGAUCAUACUUUUACCACACACUUUCUUUGGCAUCCUCAAAGAUUGGUCGGAAGGUUUUUCUUUGGACCGUAAUGUAGGCCUUUGGAUAGGGUUAAAAAGAAAGGAUGGUAUAAAGGCUCAAAACAACUAAAAUGGAAGGGGUUUUAACUUACAACUUUUGGAAUCAGAUCUAUUUGUAAAACUAAAACAUCUGCCCCAGUUUCAUUGAGUCUAGGGAAUUUUUUUGGAUUUUUAUUUUGUUGGGACCUAACCUCAGAGUAAGGCUGCCUACGUAUCCUUAAAAGGAAUCAGGUCAAAUGUAGUUCUAACACAAAGUUGGUUUAUUUUGUUGUUUUUCUUUUCCUUUUCUUUCUUUUUCUUUUUUUUCCUUUUUUUUCUUUUCUCCUUUUUUUUCUCUUUUCUUUUCUUUUUCCUUUCUAGUUCCUAACUCUACUUCUGAUUCCAAAAAAGGGGUAUGAAACAAAACAAAUUAAGGCUCAAAAGGGAUAGCAAAAGAUAAAAGUGUUUGGAUAACAGAAUAAAAUGCCUUCGUCAUACCAAACUUUAAAAAUGCCAAGUACAAAUAUGCAAUCGAAGAUAAGCAAAGAAAUCAUACAUAGUAUCUAUUGAUGGCAUCAACACAAACAAAAAGUGCCAAUGAGCAAUACCUUUGUCCCAAUGAAUGAUCCUUGCUAGUUCGAAGCAGACUUGACUCAACCUUAUCUUGAUGUGGAAGAAUGCAUUUCAAUACUGAUUGAUCUACCUCAAACUACUUGUAAGACAUUUCCUUGUUGUAUGCUCUUAUCAACCUCUUGAUUUCUCACACCAACUGCCUCAAUUUCACUCAAUUCAAGCUUCAGGUUAUCUUAGAAUGCGUGAAUCUUUACUUGUUUCCUCAAAUGCAUCUUUUUAUCAUAUUCAAAACUGUGUUUCAUUAUUCCAUGAUUAGACUGGUUUUCAAGAUCUGGCUAAAAUCUCCGCAUGAAUGUCAUGUCACUAGAACUGGCGUGAAGAGAACUAAGCACAGAAUGACACAAAAGGACAAACUGUAUUUUAUUGAGUAAAGGAUGGAAGGGUUUAACGACAAGACAAACAACCUAAAAUCCGAGUCACAACCCUAAAAUAACCCGGAUAAUAGCAACAGAACAGACAGACAAGAUUCACACAAAUAGAGGGAUGGAAGGGUUUGACUCAAUAAAACAAAUAAAAUCUGGAUCACAACCCUGAAGUAACCCAGAUAAUAGAAAAAACAUCAAAACAAGCUACCCAGAUUCCUUCCUAGUAAGGAGGGAAUGACCUUUCAAUUGCUAAGCUUGACAUUUAGCCACAAAUUUGCUCAUCAUAAUCAUCAGGGCCUUCUCCCAUUUCAAAAUCAUUAACUUUAGUCAGCAAGUUCCCGAAAGGAUUCUCAUACUCCAUGUCACCACGCAUCAUCCCCACAAAGUGUGCAUCAUCAUGUGCAGGUAAAUGAUUCUACGCGAUAUUCUGGAUGUCACUGUCCUGGAUCACAAUUCUCUCUUCUUGAAUCAUUCUUUCUAUCUCCCUUUUCAAAGCACGACAAUCUUCAAUGCUAUUCCCUUGGACAUUAGAGUGGUACAUGCACCGUACAGCAGGAUCAAAACCUUUUGCAUAUGGGUCCGGAUUAUAGCCGAGGAGCCACCGUACAGCAGGAUAAAAACCUUUUGCAUAUGGGUCCGGAGUAUAGUCGAGGAGCGGCUCAAUCAGUCCAUAAUGUUUUAACUUUUCAAACAAGCUUGUGUAGGAUUCUCUGAUUGGCGUGAAACUAUUUCUUUGCCUUUGUUCCCCUCCAUGCCCCUAUUUUCUAGGGUUGUUGGAUGCUAAAAAAUGUUAUGAAGGCAAGAGUGUAUUAUGCAGUGCUGGCGCUCGCCAUAAGGAGUAACCCGGUGGUUGGACAGAUGACCGAACGUUGUUCGGAGGAUAAUACUAAGGUGGAUUAUAUGGAGCUCGGGGAUAGGUUUGGGGUUGGGGUUGGGGUCGGGGUCGAGGCUAAGUAUAUUGGUGAGGCAGACCCGUUGGGCCAUGUCGUGAUCCUGAGACAACCAUGGCAACAUCAUCAUAUUCCUCUGACCCAGCAAGCUCCUGUGUCGUUCUGAAUUGCUUGUGUGUGGCUUUAAAGCAGAUAGCUCAUGAUCUUGCUUGACUUUAGCCCAUAUUCUACCAUUUCUCCCAUUUUUACCACAUUAUUAAAAGGCUUACCCAUAGCCGAGAUCAAAUUCCCAAAGUAAGUAGGCUCUUGAGCUUGAAGAAAGUACUCGACCAUCUCGUCUUCUUCCAUCCGGGGAUUGACUCGGGCAGCUUGCUCUCUCCAUCUGAGCCCGUAUUCCCUAAAGCUUUCAUUAGGCUUCUUUUCCAUCUUUGUGAGGGACAUGCAAUCCAGGACAAUUUCUAUAUUGUACUGAAAGUGCCGGGCAAAGGCCUGAGCCAUAUCGUCCCAUGUGUACCAUCCGAUAGCGUCUUGGCAGGUGUACCACUCUAGAGCUGCCCUACUCAGACUCUGACUAAAAUACGCCAUUAAUAAUUUUUCCUUCCCGCCGGCGCCUCUCAUCUUACUGUAGUUGCCUCUCAAAUGGGCCACGGGAUCUCCAUAUACGUCAUACAAAUCAAACUUUGGUAUCUUAAACCCAGCAUGUAGUUGGACAUCAGGAAACAAGCACAAAUCUUUGUAAGACACGCUCACUUGUCUCCCUAUCCCUUGCAUGUUUCUUAAAGACUGCUCUAAGAUUUUCACCUUCCUGGAUAUCUCAUCUUGCUCCACUAUCUUAGCAGGCUUUUCAGUUUCACCGGGAGGCUCAAAAUGAGGAACGUCAGAGUAUGGAUCCGAGACCUUGAAAGUUGGUUCUGGAGCAUAGUGUUGGGCAUCGGGGACUUUGAACACAGUCUCUCUAGAGGAUCGAGGAAGAGUAGCUGGUGGAGGAGCUACAAAAACAUGAGUGGUCAAAGGAGCGGGAUAUGAGGUGGUUUUGGGGGGUGGAGUGUGAAAAGGUUGUGGGGAGAUAUCAGCAGCAGUGGGAAUCUGGAUUUGUGACAAUGGCGGAAUAGUGAUGAGGCUUUCAGUGUAGUUAGUGGGAAACAAUGGUGGACGCCCACUAAUCUAGGCUUGGUAUAUUUCGUCCAUCUGUCCUUUCAACCUUAGGACCUCUUCUUUCAACUCAGAUUCUCAUUCAACAGUCUCCUUAGGCAGAUCAACAACACAUGUGUCCAAGUCUUUGCUAGACAUGGCUAUCUUGCUCUUUGACCUUGUGUUAUAUGGAUGACUCGCUAGAAUGCCACAAACUAACCACCUUCUGUUAUGAUAACAAUGAAAGUACCAAAGAAGAUCAAAACAAAGACAACAUGUUAGCGUUAGAGCAUUUAUCAUAUAGAAAUAUCACAUUGCGUGCAAUGUACCUAGCAACAAUUAACGGUUCUAAAAUAACUUCGAGGGUCACAAGGUCAUUUGGCAUUAUCCAAAUUUUGUUCAUUUCAAUCUUCUCUUUCCUUUCUUUUCUAGAACUUCUUGGCUUGCUCAUUUUCCUUCCUCUCUUUUCUUUCUUAUUAUCACUAUUUUCUUUCUCUCACCCCUCACGUCCCAAAACUUCAUUCUCUUUUUUUCUUUUUUUUUUUAAUAAUGAUUUGAUCAAACUCUAUGUAGGUUGCUUGCGUAUCAUGUUCCACAUGAAUCAGACCAAGCGUAGUUCUGGAAAAGUAAUGGAUAAAAUAAACUAAAAACAAAAAACUUUUUGGAUUUUUCAUUUAUAACUAUUUUUUUUUCAAAUACAAAUGUGAAGUACGAUGAAAAAAGACUCGAUAAACUCUUACACCACCUAAAAGACUCAAAACUACUAGACAAGACAAGAAAGUAAAAGAAAACAUGAAAAUAGACAAAAAAAUAUAAAAAGUCACUUGAAACAAGCUCCCAAAUGCGAUGGCCCUGGGGUAUCUGUCAUGCUCGAGCUCUGGUACAUGGAUCCAUACCUGAAUGAAAAAAAUAAGACCAAAUAAAGUUAGUGACUCGAGACACUAUGUGAGCCAUAACACCUCCUAUUAGGCACAUGCAAGAUGCGAGUGGGGCUAUUUCUACAAAAUGGCUAACGAGGCCAAAAGGUGACUAGAAGUGAAAACUCAAUUAGGACGACCUCUAAAAUAUGGAAACACCUCACGAAGGCCCAUAAACUCUCAGAAAUCGCGGUCCCUAAAAUUGCUUUGUGAAAAUGACCCAACUUUGCGAAAAUGGCCUAUGUGGCCGAAAAAUGGCUAAGCAUGCAAAUUCAACAGGAAUGAACCUUAGACUGAUAGAACAUCAUGUUGUGGACUUAGGACUCUAAGACAUAGGUUAACAAGCCACUUUGAGAAAAUAGCCCUAUUUUACAAAAACGGCCGAUGUGGUCAAAAGUGGCUAGACAUGCAAGAUUUGGCUAUGACCCUCGAAGACAAGAACUUAAGACUCACUAGGAAGACCGGACCCUAUGUGGGCUGCCUACGUAUCCCGACCCGAAAGACGAGAACCAGUUAUGCGUAGUUCGUGAAGAUUGGAUACGGAAGAAAACUAAAAAAAUAACUAAUUUGGAGAAAACAUAUUUUUGUCUUUUUUGGGAAAUGAUGGGAAAGUGCAAAAUCUUUUUGAAUUUUUUCAUUUUCAUUUUUUUAUUUUUUGGUCUUUUCUUGAAAAGGUUGUGAAAGAAAAGUAUAACUGGGCCCUACUUGCUUCAUUUUUAUACUUCACCUUAUUUUCUUUCUCAUUUACCCUCAACCAACAUUGGCCUGUCAAAUGACCCCUUUAUCCUUAAAGAAUGCAGCAUGUAGCACUUAGGGAUGAUUAAAUAUCUUUUGUGGCCGCGAGCCCAUGUUGACAAAAUUUGGAUAGGCCUCCUACAAAGGGAUACGGCACCUGGGACCAAGCCCUGCUAGGUCUAAAUGAUAUGAUGCAAAUAAGAAUGACCUAAAGGCUGACCAAAGUUUAGGGUUCACUAGACAAGGCAAUUCGGGGGAGCGUAUGGUCGAUGGUGGCUGCUCAAGCUUUCCACCCACUCCAUACGUUCGUGUACGCGACGUGCACUAUGAGACUUGUUGCAGAAAGAAUUGACCGGGUAAUGCAUAUGAUGACAGUUAUAAAGCAGUAACACAUAAAUAAAAAAAAUUGUAAACACAUAAACAGCUAGCAAAUAAUAAAAUGGCAUAAACAAAAUAAAAAUCACAUAAAGUAAAACAUAAAAACCUCAACCGAAUAUUCUAAAAAGCCAACAAGAUCAAGUACCAGCUCGAACCUGCAACUCCCCCGCAGAGUCGCUAAAGCUAUCACACCCUUUUUUUUUCACCUCACUAACCCCACUAUAAAAUAAUAAAACGAUUUUGAAAGCUCAAAAGGGUUUUCAAGUCCUAAAAGUGACAAAGGAUUGUGUUUUAAAGGAUUUUCAGAGUCGCCACCUGACAUUUGAUUUCGGUGUGCCAGGUCACUAUUUUUUAAAUAACAAUUUUCCUUCAAAACAUAUUUUGACUCUUAAACCAAUUACACCAGAAAUUCUAGGUAAGGGAGUUCACUUGACUCGGGGAGAAGGUGUUAGGCAUUCCCCGAGUCCCGUGAAAGUCACGGUUGCGUACUCGAUCUAGUUGGCUUUUAAAAUAUUCAAAUUGAGGUAAAAAAAUAUAGAGAAAGGAAAAUAAACACACAAGAGGCUUGAGGUCGUCCCCACCUAAUAAAAGGAAUAAAAAUAAAAUAAAAUACUAAAGUUCUAUUCUACGCUUCCACGCAUCAUCCAGUCUCUGGCCUUCAUUUACAUGUACUUCGGGGCAUUCUCCGGGUAAAAUUUUUACAAACUCUUCGAGAUAUUUUCCGAAAUAUAAACUAAAGGGAACGACCUCUUACCUCGAAUGAAAUAAAAGACAAGACCUAAAGUUUGCCUACCCGGAUGUGGUCGGCCUAAGCAUGCUCCUAACGAUCAAAUGGGUAUAGCGAAAUAAAGAACUAAUAGAAAUGAUCCAAAGCUCAAAUUGUUUUAACUUUUUCAAUUCUCUGCCAUGACAAUUUUGCCUUAAGGAGUCCAAAUGUGAUUUUGCUCUUUAAAUCAGGCAAACCCCCACGGCCAAUUUAUCAAUUAAACGACAAAAUCCAACAAACCACUAAUUUUAAGCUAUAAGUGAACUAUCAUUCUUUUCUUCCUCUUAAUCAAGUUUAAUGAAUGAUAGGCUAAUGAUCUAACAAUAAUCCUUAAAGCUAAUAAUAAAAGGAAUAUGAAAGCAAUAUGAGUGCCAACCAAAUUAAUACACUGCUUUUGUUUGAUUUCAUCAAAAGUUAAUACACAGAAUUUUAAGAAAGGCAUGAGUAAGAAUCUGACCUUAAAACAACGAGUUUGAACUUUGAUUGCUUGAUGGCUCUAAGACUCAAAAACGAACGGGACCGCGAACAAGAUCUAAACCGAAAACCCUCGCUGGAAACCUCGUCGAACUCUGACCGAAUUGCCUCGCUACCUCCCUUUACUCAGAUCUGAGCGUCCGAGACCUUAAACUCACUGAAAUUCGACCUUUAAUGGUAGUACCUUUUGUCGAUCGAAAGAGUUUUGAAGAUAAGAGUGGAAUCGGAGUUCUGAUGUGAAGUUAACAAUGGGAAGUUAAUGGAGCUAUGGAGGUUGCAUAAUAGUUUUAAUGGCUAUUUUCUAUGGAGAUCGAGUGUAGUUAGGCGGCGGCUCUUCUGAUACUAGGCAUGCUCUGUUUUUUCUCCGUCCUCCUCCCUCUCGUCACUCUCUCUGUCUGCUUCUCCGUAUAUCUCUUACUCUAUUUUGUUUCUGAUUUUACCAUCCUCUUUUUUUUUUUGAGAAGAAGGGGUGUCAGGUGCAGUUCUCCUUCAGCUCUGUGUGUGUGUGCGUGUUUUUCGGCGGAUUUUGGUGGAAAGGGGCUCAUUUUCGGGUGACUUUGGUGGCAGCCGGCGUGGUCAAGGGAGGUGGGGGUAUGGCUCUUGGUUUUUGGGGUCAGGGCUGGGCGUCGGCAGUAGGUGGGUAAGGGCGGAGGCGACAUAGGCGGAAUGGA
rnacentral:lncRNA from 1 species